UAGUGUUGUAAGUCCUUCCUGAAAAGGAUGAGGCCGCCCUGAGGCGGAUGGGACGAAGUAAGGAAGGGUUCACUA
ncrna:unclassified sequences DTF3800-X RNA